rnacentral:rRNA from 1 species
GAUGAACGCUGGCGGCGUGCUUAACACAUGCAAGUCGAACGAUGAAGCCCAGCUUGCUGGGUGUGUUAGUGUCGAACGGGUGAGUAACACGUGAGUAACCUGCCCUUAACUCUGGGAUAAGCCUGGAAAACUGGGUCUAAUACCGGAUAUGAGCGCCUACCGCAUGGUGGGUGGUGUGGAGAUUUGGCGGUUUUGGAUGGACUCGCGGCUUAUCAGCUUGUUGGUGGGGUAAUGGCUCACCAAGGCGAUGACGGGUAGCCGGCCUGAGAGGGUGACCGGCCACACUGGGACUGAGACACGGCCCAGACUCCUACGGGAGGCAGCAGUGGGGAAUAUUGCACAAUGGGCGGAAGCCUGAUGCAGCGACGCCGCGUGCGGGAUGACGGCCUUCGGGUUGUAAACCUCUUUCAGUAGGGAAGAAGCGAGAGUGACGGUACCUGGAGAAGAAGCACCGGCUAACUACGUG